GACGAACGCUGGCGGCGUGCCUAAUACAUGCAAGUCGAACGCAGUGGGGACGGGUGAGUAACACGUGGGUAACCUCCCAUCAGAGGGGAUAACACUUGGAAACAGGUGCUAAACCGAUCCUGAUGGAUGGACCCGCGGUGCAUUAGCUAGUGGGUGAGGUAACGGCUAACCAAGGCCACGAUGCAUAGCCGGUCUGAGAGGACGAUCAGCCACACUGGGACUGAGACACGGCCCAGACUCCUACGGGAGGCAGCAGUAGGGAAUCUUGGGCAAUGGACGAAAGUCUGAUCGAGCAACGCCGCGUGAGUGAAGAAGGUUUUCGGAUCGUAAAGUACUUUUGGUAGAGAAGCGGUAUCUAACCAGUAAGCACCGGCUAACUACGUGCCAGCAGCCGCGGUAAUAC
rnacentral:rRNA from 1 species